rnacentral:lncRNA from 10 species
CCCGCAUACCGGUGGCCCCCCCAGUUAGCUGCCUUGGGGAGGGGAGGAAGACCACCAGAGCCCAGGACGAUCUGCUGUGCAGAUCAUGAACCGUCGCCGCAGUGCCAGACAGACUCUUCAUCCGGACCGGCCGUCCCACUGGGUCCCCUCAGGAAAGCGCAGAAGCCGGGGACCCCAAACCGCGUCCAGCUCCUCCCACCCGCCCUUCUCGGAGCCGCGCACUUGGUAACUUGCGUGUGAAGAACUCACGGCCGUGUUGCCAGGAAACUGCGGGGAGCAGCCUUUGUGGUCUCACAUAUGCGUAACAUAAUAAUAAAUAACGGUUAACGUGAUAAUAAAUAAACAAAUAACAAUAAUUAUAACGUGCCCCAAGCCUGUUGUUUCUCCAAAAUUAAUUUAUGAUGAAUUACGACUCGAAUUCCUCGGAACAUACCAGUGGGAAGAGGAGAGGGGGCUAUUUUAUUUGCCACUGGGCUCAGAGUAGGGUUAAGAACUGUCUUUCCCUGAGCCAGACCUUGUCCCAGGUCCCUGGUAACCCAGGGAAGGUCGCCAGAGAGGAAUUCUCUCUUUCCCUCUGCUUCUCACAUCUCCUCCUCUGCCUAGGACAGUGAAGUUUUUUAGAUACUUUACUUGCAUUUCUAAUUCAGUUAUUCUUCUGAAAUUUAUUCAAAGGAUUUAUGCUUAU